rnacentral:rRNA from 1 species
GACGAACGCUGGCGGCGUGCUUAACACAUGCAAGUCGAACGGAAAGGCCCUGCUUUUGUGGGGUGCUCGAGUGGCGAACGGGUGAGUAACACGUGAGUAACCUGCCCUUGACUUUGGGAUAACUUCAGGAAACUGGGGCUAAUACCGGAUAGGAGCUCCUGCUGCAUGGUGGGGGUUGGAAAGUUUCGGCGGUUGGGGAUGGACUCGCGGCUUAUCAGCUUGUUGGUGGGGUAGUGGCUUACCAAGGCUUUGACGGGUAGCCGGCCUGAGAGGGUGACCGGCCACAUUGGGACUGUGAUACGGCCCAGACUCCUACGGGAGGCAGCAGUGGGGAAUAUUGCACAAUGGGCGGAAGCCUGAUGCAGCAACGCCGCGUGCGGGAUGACGGCCUUCGGGUUGUAAACCGCUUUCGCCUGUGACGAAGCGUGAGUGACGGUAAUGGGUAAAGAAGCACCGGCUAGCUACGUG